rnacentral:rRNA from 1 species
CCUACGGGUGGCAGCAGUGGGGAAUAUUGGACAAUGGGGGGAACCCUGAUCCAGCCAUGCCGCGGGUGUGAAGAAGGCCCUCGGGUUGUAAAGCACUUUCAGUGAGGAAGAACGCCUGGUGGUUAAUACCCAUCAGGAAAGACAUCACUCACAGAAGAAGCACCGGCUAACUCCGUGCCAGCAGCCGCGGUAAUACGGAGGGUGCGAGCGUUAAUCGGAAUUACUGGGCGUAAAGCGCGCGUAGGUGGCUUGAUAAGCCGGUUGUGAAAGCCCCGGGCUCAACCUGGGAACGGCAUCCGGAACUGUCAAGCUAGAGUGCAGGAGAGGAAGGUAGAAUUCCCGGUGUAGCGGUGAAAUGCGUAGAGAUCGGGAGGAAUACCAGUGGCGAAGGCGGCCUUCUGGACUGACACUGACACUGAGGUGCGAAAGCGUGGGUAGCAAACAGGAUGAGAUACCCCGGUAGUC